CUUAUCUUAUAGUUAGGAUAGCCUUAUGCCUAUCCCACGUUCCACAAAUUUCUACAGUCAGGUUCUCCAGUCAAACAGUAGAAAACAUUAAAAUGUAGAUUUAAUUCAUGGACAAACUUCAACUGUGCCAAAAUUUAUGGGGAACGAUGAGUUAAACUGCAUGAAUAACUAGUUUGAUAUGUGUGUACACUGCAUGAAUAACUAGUUUGAUAUGUGUGUUCUUAUGUAUAUAUUCAUUCUCAACUUCACAGGUUGGAUGCAAUGUCUAUCAUUUCAAACCAACCUGGCUAUUGGCCCAAAAUUAAGUGUGGCUCUUCAUCCUUCAUGAAAUGCAUUCUUACAUUGCAGCCAGU